UACGGAGGGGGCUAGCGUUGUUCGGAAUUACUGGGCGUAAAGCGCGCGUAGGCGGAUCUGCAAGUCGGGGGUGAAAUCCCGAGGCUCAACCUCGGAACUGCCUUCGAUACUGCGGGUCUCGAGUCCGGGAGAGGUGAGUGGAAUUCCUAGUGUAGAGGUGAAAUUCGUAGAUAUUAGGAAGAACACCAGUGGCGAAGGCGGCUCACUGGCCCCGGUACUGACGCUGAGGCGCGAAAGCGUGGGGAGCAAACAGG
rnacentral:rRNA from 1 species